CAAAAAAAAAAAAAAAAAAAAAAGAGGGGAAGUCCCUGGCCUCUGCAGUGCAGAGAAGCAAGAGCUAGGUUUGGUCUCACUCACUCACUGCUGCCCUUCCUGACGGGACAGUUUGGAGAGGGGACUCAGGCGUACCCUGGGAGAGUGUUUAUUUCAAGGAGACCUUAAAAGAACAUGAUCUCCAUUCUCAGAUAACUGGAGACAGUCACUGAGCUGGUUCAGGGACAAUCCACUUGUUCUCUCUGCUGCUAAAGAUACUGCGGCGAGAGGCUGUAGGGGACAGGUUGCAGGGGAAGGCUGUGCUUUGUGAUGGGUCUACUGUAGCUGAGUUGAUCAGACAGUGGACUUCCUAGCUCAGGGUCAAGCAGAGCCCUAUGGCCACAGAGCAGGACGCUGUGGAAGGAGUUAGACCCUCAGAAGGCAGCCUGGUGUCUCUAAGUUUCAAAGCAGGUGGCUGUCUUGGCUCUAUUGAAAUUACAGCUCCACCUCUUUGAUGUUGCCAAGCCAAAGUGUAUGGCUUAAAGGAGCGGAGACACCCCAGCCCUACCUCCACCUCAAGUGCAGGUGUUGCUAACAGUGCUCAGUCAAGACCUGAGUCUUGGCCUGAUUGGCCUGGCCUGCUAUUUCUCUUCCCUGUGCUGUGCCUUCAUUGGUAAAAUAAAUCUGAUGGUGUCUGAAUUCUCUGACAAGCUCUAAA
rnacentral:lncRNA from 1 species